AUUGAACGCUGGCGGCAGGCCUAACACAUGCAAGUCGAACGAGUGGCGGACGGGUGAGUAAUGUCUGGGACACUGCCUGAUGGAGGGGGAUAACCACGGGAAACGGUAGCCAAUACCGUAUACCAUCAGAUGUGCCCAGAUGGGAUUAGCUAGUGGGUGGGGUAACGGCUCACCAAGGCGACGAUCCCGAGCUGGUCUGAGAGGAUGACCAGCCACAAUGGAACUGAGACACGGUCCAGACUCCUACGGGAGGCAGCAGUGGGGAAUAUUGCACAAUGGGCGCAAGCCUGAUGCAGCCAUGCCGCGUGUGUGAAGAAGGCCUUCGGGUUGUAAAGGACUUUCAGCGGGGAGGCGUUACCCGCAGAAGAAGCACCGGCUAACUCCGUGCCAGCAGCCGCGGUAAUUC
rnacentral:rRNA from 1 species